rnacentral:lncRNA from 1 species
CUUUUAAUAUUCCUCUGAUAUACAAAUCUUCUGAAAACUUUAAUAUUAUCAAAGUUUAUAACCGACUUAAUAUUAGAAUUGAGACUCUUUUCAGGUAUUUUAAUACUACAGUAGCAAUUAACACACAGUACAUUCUAAUUGUUUGUGUUCUUAAAUUGCCGUUUCCACGCGCUCUUUCAACCAUUAGAAACAUAAUAGCGUUAAACGGCUAAAUUAUGCUGGAGGAACCACAAAUGUCUCUACAUUUAAAGCUUUUUCAAACUGACACAGAGGUGAAUGGACAAGAUUACAAUUAAUUGUGACAUUUUUCUUCGACAACAGCACUCUUCGCGGCUCCUGCCGGCUCUAUACUGACCCUGUUUCACACGCAAUAUUUUCCUUAUUCAGUCGCUAACACACCUUUUGUAUCCCACUAUGAAGAACAUCAACAUUUCCACCAAAACCCCGAAAAAAUAAUCAUUUUAUAGACGAAACAAUAAAAUAUUUCAGAACAAUUUUGUUUUGCUUUUGCCAACGCAUGCGCAGUUCGGUCGACAUACAGUUUUCUGUAUGUCUGAUUCGGAUUAUCCCAGAG